UACGAAGGGGGCUAGCGUUGUUCGGAAUCACUGGGCGUAAAGGGCGCGUAGGCGGCUUUAUAAGUCGGGGGUGAAAGCCUGUGGCUCAACCACAGAAUUGCCUUCGAUACUGCCGUGCUUGAGGACUGGAGAGGAGACUGGAAUUUACGGUGUAGCGGUGAAAUGCGUAGAUAUCGAUAAGGAAGACCAGUGGCGAAGGCGGGUCUCUGGACAGUUCCUGACGCUGAGGCACGAAGGUCAGGGGAGCAAACGGG
rnacentral:rRNA from 1 species